rnacentral:rRNA from 1 species
AAUCCAUAGGUUAAUGAGGCGAACCGGGGGAACUGAAACAUCUAAGUACCCCGAGGAAAAGAAAUCAACCGAGAUUCCCCCAGUAGCGGCGAGCGAACGGGGAGGAGCCCAGAGCCUGAAUCAGCAUGUGUGUUAGUGGAAGCGUCUGGAAAGGCGCGCGAUACAGGGUGACAGCCCCGUACACAAAAGCGCAUGUGCUGUGAGCUCGAUGAGUAGGGCGGGACACGUGGUAUCCUGUCUGAAUAUGGGGGGACCAUCCUCCAAGGCUAAAUACUCCUGACUGACCGAUAGUGAACCAGUACCGUGAGGGAAAGGCGAAAAGAACCCCGGCGAGGGGAGUGAAAAAGAACCUGAAACCGUGUACGUACAAGCAGUGGGAGCACAGGUUUACCUGUGUGACUGCGUACCUUUUGUAUAAUGGGUCAGCGACUUAUAUUCUGUAGCAAGGUUAACCGAAUAGGGGAGCCGGAGGGAAACCGAGUCUUAAUUGGGCGUUAAGUUGCAGGGUAUAGACCCGAAACCCGGUGAUCUAGCCAUGGGCAGGUUGAAGGUUGGGUAACACUAACUGGAGGACCGAACCGACUAAUGUUGAAAAAUUAGCGGAUGACCUGUGGCUGGGGGUGAAAGGCCAAUCAAACCGGGAGAUAGCUGGUUCUCCCCGAAAGCUAUUUAGGUAGCGCCUCGUGAAUUCAUCUCCGGGGGUAGAGCACUGUUUCGGCUAGGGGGCCAUCCCGGCUUACCAACCCGAUGCAAACUGCGAAUACCGGAGAAUGUUAUCACGGGAGACACACGGCGGGUGCUAACGUCCGUCGUGAAGAGGGAAACAACCCAGACCGCCAGCUAAGGUCCCAAAGUCAUGGUUAAGUGGGAAACGAUGUGGGAAGGCCCAGACAGCCAGGAUGUUGGCUUAGAAGCAGCCAUCAUUUAAAGAAAGCGUAAUAGCUCACUGGUCGAGUCGGCCUGCGCGGAAGAUGUAACGGGGCUAAACCAUGCACCGAAGCUGCGGCAGCGAACGUAUCACUUAAAGCGAUUCAGCGGGUUACGAUUGACGGAGCGAAGCGACGUCAAAGCGUAUACAAAGUCGAGUCGGUUUAAGGAUACGUUCGUUGGGUAGGGGAGCGUUCUGUAAGCCUGUGAAGGUGGCCUGUGAGGGUUGCUGGAGGUAUCAGAAGUGCGAAUGCUGACAUAAGUAACGAUAAAGCGGGUGAAAAGCCCGCUCGCCGGAAGACCAAGGGUUCCUGUCCAACGUUAAUCGGGGCAGGGUGAGUCGACCCCUAAGGCGAGGCCGAAAGGCGUAGUCGAUGGGAAACGGGUUAAUAUUCCCGUACUUGGUGUUACUGCGAAGGGGGGACGGAGAAGGCUAUGUUGGCCGGGCGACGGUUGUCCCGGUUUAAG